GGUCAAUUGAGGCGGGCUGGACCUCUCGGGGUUACAGCCUUGCUGAAUUAUUCACCCUUGUCUUUUGCGUACUUCUUGUUUCCUUGGUGGGUUCGCCCACCACUAGGACAAACAUAAACCUUUUGUAAUUGCAAUCAGCGUCAGUAACAAAUUAAUAAUUACAACUUUCAACAACGGAUCUCUUGGUUCUGGCAUCGAUGAAGAACGCAGC
rnacentral:rRNA from 1 species